rnacentral:tRNA from 1 species
GCAGAGGUCGCCGAGCCAGGUCAAAGGCGUAGGCUUCAGGAGCCUAUCUCGUAGGAGUUCGUGGGUUCGAAUCCCACCCUCUGCACCA